AUUGAACGCUGGCGGCAUGCCUUACACAUGCAAGUCGAACGGUAACGCGGGGCAACCUGGCGACGAGUGGCGAACGGGUGAGUAAUGUAUCGGAACGUGCCCAGUUGUGGGGGAUAACUGCUCGAAAGAGCAGCUAAUACCGCAUACGACCUGAGGGUGAAAGCGGGGGAUCGCAAGACCUCGCGCAAUUGGAGCGGCCGAUAUCAGAUUAGGUAGGUGGUGGGGUAAAGGCCCACCAAGCCAACGAUCUGUAGCUGGUCUGAGAGGACGACCAGCCACACUGGGACUGAGACACGGCCCAGACUCCUACGGGAGGCAGCAGUGGGGAAUUCUGGACAAUGGGCGCAAGCCUGAUCCAGCCAUGCCGCGUGCGGGAAGAAGGCCUUCGGGUUGUAAACCGCUUUUGUCAGGGAAGAAACGCUCUGGGUUAAUACCUCGGGGUAAUGACGGUACCUGAAGAAUAAGCACCGGCUAACUACGUGCCAGCCGCCGCAGUAAGAC
rnacentral:rRNA from 1 species